UACGAAGGGGGCUAGCGUUGUUCGGAAUUACUGGGCGUAAAGGGCGCGUAGGCGGCCACCGCAAGUCAAUUGUGAAAUCUCCGGGCUUAACUCGGAAAGGUCAACUGAUACUGCGGGGCUAGAGUGCGGAAGGGGCAACUGGAAUUCUCGGUGUAGCGGUGAAAUGCGUAGAUAUCGAGAGGAACACCUGCGGCGAAGGCGGGUUGCUGGGCUGAUACUGACGCUGAGGCGCGAAAGCCAGGGGAGCGAACGGG
rnacentral:rRNA from 1 species